UAAUUUUGUAAUUUAUUCUGAAGUGUGUAAAAUUUUCGAGGAAAAACAUUCAUUACUUUCCUCAAAAAUAAACAUUUAUCAAAGGAAAUUUGGCAACUGUCGAAUGUCCGUACGGCGUUCUUCCCUAGAACGGCAGAGUUGAGCAUGCACCCGUGAGUUUGGAGACAAAAAAUUCACUCUUCUUCCAACACAAAUGACUGGGAGAUCAUUUAAUGAAUUUACCAACAAUUAAACAAUGAUAAAAAAAAUGAGUAAAUAAAUGAAUUAAUAUAAAUAAAAUUAGGAGUUCCAUAGAACGGUAUAGCUCAAAAAAUCUUCAUAUAUAACGAAUGAAGGCAACAUGGGAAGAAGGCGCUAAGUCAGUCAAAUCGGGUUAACAAGCAUACAGGGAUUCGAGUUCAGAGACAUCGAGGGAUAUGAGAAAGAGGGUAGUGAAAAAAUUAAAUAACGGAUACACCAGGAAAUAUUGCUCUUUUCCUCAUUCUUUGAAUGUCUGUCUGGAUUUAUAUUGGACCUUUUGAUAAGAGCCCUGAGGACCGAACAAUGAGAGCUUUUUACACUCCCCUGGAUGGACCGUCUGUGUAGACUUAAACGAGCACACUUGGAAGUUAUAGUGGAAAUCGAGUCGACGUGUUCACUCACUGGGGGAGUUCGAAAGAAUCAGUUUCAAGGCAGUGAAUACCUCAUUCGCGAAGAGUGUCAAAUUCAAGAUAUUGCCAAAUGGACCAAGAUGCGCCGAAAAAUGUGGUCGGAACAUGUUGAGAGGAUGGACGGGGAAAGGCUUGCCAAGAUUUGUAUGAUGGGACGACCUCAUAGCCAAAGGCAACCCGGACGCCUGCCCAAGAGAUGGGCACAGAGCUGCCUUUCAUCCCCGGAGAAUUAAUCCUCUCUCAUCGCCAUCAUAUUUUAUUUAUCAUAUUUAUAAACUAAUUUAGAGACUAGACAAACAGGGCCACGGCCCUAGUCAGAAGGUAGAAAGAAGAAGAAGUAGAAGGAAGAAGAAGAAGUAGUAGAAGAAGAAGAAGAAGAAGAAGAAGAAGAAGAAGAAGAAGAAUACCUCAUGAGAAUUUGGAGGAAGCAGGAUGUCGUCUUGUAGAAUUUUUUCAGGCUCUGGGUAUUUAACGCGCGUAAAAUUCCUCGAGAUCGCCGAACUUUGAGACAUCAGUGCAGCAAGUGGGAAAACAGCCGCGCAAAAAAUCCGCGCCAUUUUCUUCCAACAACAGAAACGGGCCAAAAAAAUGAAUUUAAUGAGAUACAAUUUUUUUUAUGGCGAUCACAAAACUUAUUCCUGUAGAAUUUGAUUUGAUUGCGGUACCGAUCGCUGAAGUUUAGCAAACUACCGCCCGAUUGACAAUAUUAUGUUGCGAUGUUUUGGCAAGAUGACGCAGAUUAUCAGCCGGCUAGCUAAUGGCACCUGCAAUUAGGAGACAGUGGGCAGUUUUAUCUACUGAAGAAACGGUUUUUAGAACCGAUUCAUCCUCAGAGGCUUAGAUCUAGGUCAAAGACCUGUUUACUUUUUGUCAAUCAAGCGUGUCGACAGCUAAAGUCAAGAUACCUACGCAUCACCGAUUGCGAUUGUGCAUUGCCAAAAAUGAAAGAGGACAAUUGAAAAGCCAAAAGACGGGGAUUUUAAUAGACAAAAGAUUAGAAUUUUUUGCAAAUAGACGUGUUUGAUUACUCUGCUUUGCACCACUGAUCCUGGUUUUAACUUGCUACCCGUAUACAUAGUCUCCCGCUCCGUCAAUAUCGUAUACCUUCCCUAUAAACAUAUGUAACCAUACUAUUAUAGUCCUUUCAUACUUUGAAA